rnacentral:rRNA from 1 species
AGCAGUAGCCGCGGGAAUACGAAGGGGGCUAGCGUUGUUCGGAAUUACUGGGCGUAAAGCGCACGUAGGCGGAUAUUUAAGUCAGGGGUGAAAUCCCGCAGCUCAACUGCGGAACUGCCUUUGAUACUGGGUAUCUUGAGUAUGGAAGAGGUUAGUGGAAUUGCGAGUGUAGAGGUGAAAUUCGUAGAUAUUCGCAGGAACACCAGUGGCGAAGGCGGCUAACUGGUCCAUAACUGACGCUGAGGUGCGAAAGCGUGGGGAGCAAACAGGAUUAGAUACCCCGGUAGUCCCUGUCUCUUAUAC